GAGGAUAUAGCUCAAUGGUAGAGCGCGUGCUUAGCAUGCACCAGGUCCUGGGUUCAACCCCAAAACCUACA
rnacentral:tRNA from 1 species